GCCCUAUUGUCUGGAAUAACCUCGGGAAACUGAGUAUAAUGCCCCAUAGUCCACUACGCCUGGAACGGUGAGUGGAUCAAAGCUCAGGCGGCAUAGGAUGGGCCUGCGGCGUAUCAGGUUGUAGGGGGUGUAAAGUACCCUCUAGCCAUCUACGCGUACGGGUGUUGGGAGACAUAGCCCGGAGAUGGAUUCUGAGACACGAAUCCAGACCCUACGGGGUGCAGCAGGCGCGAAAACUUGACAAUGCGAGCAAUCGUGAUCAGGGAACUCCAAGUGGCUGGGGUAAGACCCAGUCUUUUCAUAACUCUUCAAAGGUUGUAGAAUAAGGGGUGGGUAAGGACGGUGCCAGCCGCCGCGGUAAUACCGGCGCCUCAAGUGGUAGUCGCUUUUAUUGGGCCUAAAACGUCCGUAGCCGGUUUGGUACAUUCGUGGGUAAAUCAACUCGCUCAACGAGUUGAAUUCUGCGAGGACGGCCAGACUUGGGACCGGGAGAGGUAUGAGGUACUCUGGGGGUAGGGGUAAAAUCCUGUCAUCCUCAGAGGACCACCUGUUGCGAAGGCGUCAUACUGGAACGGAUCCGACGGUCAGGGACGAAGCCUAGGGGCGCGAACCGGAUUAGAUACCCGGGUAGUCCUAGGUGUAAACGCUGUGGAUUUGGUGUGUGGGGUCCGCAAUGGGCCCCAUGUGCCGGAGUGAAGAUGUUAAAUCCACUGCCUGGGGAGUACGGUCGCAAGGCUGAAACUCAAAGGAAUUGACGG
rnacentral:rRNA from 1 species